AUGCCCUACGGCCUCAAUUCUGCCUUCUCUCCCAACUGUGUGCAUGAAUUUACUUCUCCUUAUUCGGGGCCCUAUAGUUCUCAUUAUUACACAGGUCUAGACAGACCCGAGAUUCCAAAGAAGUGUUGCCAAAAAUAUUUCCAGCUGUGUCAAACUCCACAAGCUUCCUGGAAAGAUUAUGCGACCAUGUAUUUUACUGGUCAGGCUAACAUGUGGUUACCCUCUAUAGAGUUCAAAAUAGAUAAAAUGGAGUGGAAAGAGUUAUGUGAAUUUGUGUGUCAUAGGUUUGGGAAAUUGCAGUUUCAAGCUAUGAUACGGCGACUGACUCAUGUCAAACAAGCUGGAAGUGUCCAAGAGUACAUUGAGAAUUUUAACACUUUGAUGCACCAAAUGUUAGCUCACAAUCCUCAAUUAGACCCAGAGAUUUUCACCACCACUUUCAUAGAUGGGUUAAAACCUCCAAUUUGUAGUGUUGUUCUUAUACAAAGGCCACCAGAUUUGGAUAUAGCUGGUUCUCUGGCCCUUUUGCAGGAAGAGGUGCUUGAAGACUGUCGUGUGGUUGAUCACCCACAUUUUGAAUCCAGCGGCUCAACUUACAGCCAUGUAACUCCGAAGACUGCUUUUCCUUCUGUUCCAAUAGUGAGUAAUCGAGCAGUUCAGCCCAAUGUUAUGGCUGACAAGCGUGGUGGAGAGGCUAUUAAAUCUCAGUCUAUUUCAGGAAGCAAGUUGAAUACUCUCAGAGCUUAUAGAAGUGCUCGGGGUCUGUGUUUUACAUGUGGAGAAAAAUGA
rnacentral:rRNA from 1 species